rnacentral:piRNA from 1 species
UAUCUGGUUUCGUGAUGACUCAAGGAUUC